AAUGCAAGUGUUUAACAGAUGCUUCACUAUUAAAAUAUUUUCCCCCCAAGUCUCAAAUAUUGAAGAAUCUCUAACCAGGCUCGAAACGCCGGUCUCAGUGGCUAUUGAGUUACCCACCAAGUUACCCCGGUUAGAGCUGUUUGGGGUGGCUCACGUUAUUGCGGCAAACUUUGGAGAUGACGGCUGAGUCCUCCGGGCGAACAUGUCAAGCCGAUUGUAAAUGCUGUUAUUUCCACAUCCUUCAGGGACACCAGUCCCUACGAAGACCUUGGGCGAUUUUGAAGUGCGGGCACCUCGAUUCCCCGAAUCUGUAGUGUGGCUGGUAUCGGUGUUCCCCUGGUUUAACUAGCCUGUUUGGCACAACAAAUGAGACCCAAGUGCUCAUAGAACAUUCCAAAGAGUCAACAGAGAGAAGUGGAAAGUAUUAGAAACAUGAUUGUGUUUGCAAAGGGAGACAUAAACAUGGGGAAAUUGAGGCAGAGAAGCCAAGACAUGUGCUAAAGGUCAUGCAGGCUAUGAAUGGAGCUGGAAUGUGAACGCAGGCCAUAUGACCCCAGAGCCCAUGUUCUUGAACCCUUAGAAAGACAGCAGCAACACACCUGGUGCAGCAGCUGCUUAGUUGGAGUGGCUGACAAGGUUGGCAGAGGAUCCCGUUCCUCCCGUGGAGUGGCUGCCAUGAUACUGCCUGCACUGAAGCUGCUCCUAUUUCUGAAAUAUGUAUUGUUAUUUUUUUCCCUGCAUGUUGAACAUUAUACUCUUCUGUUCUUUCGCAUUCUCUUCUUCCCUUCCGGAUGACUUCUAGGGUUUUUGUGAUUCUGUAAUUCUAAAGGAGAAAGGAUAAUAAGAAUUGUGAG
rnacentral:lncRNA from 10 species